rnacentral:lncRNA from 1 species
GUAUCCUGACCUCAGAUAGACCCAGAGAGAGGUUUCAUCAAAAGAGUAGGUGACAACUUGACUAAGUCUUGGGGACACAUAUGGAACAGAGGACAUGAUAUUCAAGCAAGAGGAGCCCCAUGGAGGAAAAGGUCAGCUGCAGAACCAAGGGCAUGCUGUUUCACAGGGAUCAGCCCUGCUCCCAGCUGCAGGUGACAGAAAAGUCAGCUCAAAGUGGCUACCAAAACAAGAAACCCCACUGACAUUCGGACUGGAAAUCAGAAGUGGGAGGCUUGGAUCCAGCAGUCCAUCAGGGACCCAGGCUCUUCAUGCCUCUCCUCUCUGCCCUGUGUUCUUCAUCCUAGACCUGGAUCCCCUAUGUUCUUGCGAAGGCCAUCAGGAGCCACCUGGUCAUCUGCCUCCUCUAAGAACAGAUUCACUUUGCUGUACACCUGAAACUAAUACAACACUGCAAGCCAACUAUGCUCCAAAAAAAAGAAAAAAAGGCUUUGACAGAACCUUCAGCCACCUUCUUCUUAAGUCUGACUGAUCCAAAAUGGGCCCACUAGUCCUAAACUGAUCACAGGCCAGACCAGUGGGAUUACUUCCAGCCCAAUCAGGUCUGCUCUUGGAGUCAAGGUCAAGGCCUCAAACCUCAUUGCUGCUUCUCCAUGAGGGGAGAGGCCUAUCUUCAAGUGAAGAUAGAUGUUGGAGUAAAGACUAGGCAAUGUCCACUUCUCUUUUAGGAUAACAACACAAGAUGAUGAGGCAAUUGCCAAGCUUAUUGGAAGAAAACAUGCAGAUAGUUAGACCUAAGAAUUCCUUGGUGACUCAGUGGGUUAAGAAUCCAGCAUUGUCACUGCUGUGUCUUGGGUCACUGCUGUGGUACAGGUUUGAUUCCUGGCCCCAGAACUUCUACAUGCUGUGAGUGUGGCCAAAAAAAAAAAAUAUAGUUACACCUAGAUUAACUUUAGGUUAAUAGUCAAUCAGCAAACAUUAUUGAACACUUACCAUAUGCUUAAAUGAAUACCAUACCACCAAUUUUUUUUUUUUUUGUCUUUUUGCCUUUUCUAAGGCCGCUUCCCGCAGCAUAUGGAGGUUCCCAGGCUAGGGGUCAAAUCGGAGCCGUAGCCACCGGCCUACACCAGAGCCAUAGCAAUGCGGGAUCCGAGCCACGUCUGCGACCUACACCACAGCUCACGGCAACGCCGGAUCCUUAACCCACUGAGCAAGGCCAGGGAUCAAACCCACAAACUCAUGGUUCCUAGUUGGAUUCGUUAACCACCGAGCUAUGACAGGAACUCCCCAAUUUCUUUUUUAAAUUGUGGUUAAAUAUACAUAACGCAAAACCUUCCAUUGUCACCAUUGUUAAGUGUAUAUUUCUGUGGCAUUAAGUACAACCAUAGUGUUGUACAACUGUUGCCACUAUCCAACUUCAGAACCUUUUCAUCUUCCCCCACCGAAGCUCUAUAACUAUUAAAAACUAAUUCUACUUACAUGAGUUACCUUGAGUAGUCAAAUUCAUCAGUUCCUUUUAAGGAGGUGCCACU